rnacentral:lncRNA from 10 species
AGGAGAGUUGGUGAGUUUGGGGCAGGUGCAGGGGAGUGGUAGUCUAAGCUGAGGAGGCCUACAAAGACUAGCUAGCAAAGGGCAUGGGGCAUGUUUAAGGCGCGGUGACCUAAACCCACUCUUCUGUAUUCUCUCCCAGGAGAAGGAGGUACAAGAAGGGUGAGUGGGUUGACUCAGAAAUAGAACUUCAGAAUUUAAAACCUUAAGCUGGAUUCAGAAGGUUGGCCUUGGGGCCAUAAAGCAGCAGAGCAUGGAUGCUAAGGCUGUGGGUUCUGGAGUUCAGACAGUUCUGGGUUCAAAUCCCAACUUUGUUCAUAAGUCAUGUGACUUCAGAAAGAUUACUAAUCUUCUCUAAGCCUUUGUUUGCUCCUCCAUAAACGGGAUAAUUGUUUCAUGAUAGAUCCUCAGUCAGAGCAGAAUUAAGUAGAGCCCUGCUUUGGGGAAAUGAAAAUAGAGGUAACAUUCUCUGAGCACUUUCUCUGUGUCUAGAUCUGUGCUAAGCACAGAUGCAUAUGCACAGUAAUAUGCAUAUUACUCAAUCCUUACAAAAGCCCUGUGAGAUCUGUGUACUUUUUCUCAUAUUUCUAGUGGUAGGAACCUGAGAUCAGUGACCCACCCAGUAAAUAUUUCAGUGUGAAAUAGUCCUGUAGAAGAGGGAGGAGUAGGUGGUGGGCCUGACAGGUGUAAUAGGGUUGCUGGGUGGAUGGUCCCAGGGCCCACUGAGGUUGUGAUUGUAGGUUUUAAGUGAGACCAUCAACAUGUUGUAUUUUUGUUCAGCCAUAUUCAGUUGCUCAGGUGCAGGAACAGAGCAGAUGGGGAGUUGGAUCUAAUUAGGUUCAAGUUUAGCCAGGUAAAAUCAGUUGAUGAAAAGAAGAAAGUCCGCUGGGCACAGUGGCUCACACCUAUAAUUGCAGUACUUAAGGGAGGCUGAGGCAGGUGGAUCGCUUGAGCCCAGGAGUUUAAGACCAGCCCUGGCAUUGUGAUGAAACCCCAUCUCUACAGAAAAUACAAAAAAUUAGCCAGAUGUGGUGGCACGUGCCUGUAGUCCCAGCUACUCGGGAGGCUGAGGUGGGAGGAUCACCUGAGUGGGGAGGUUGAGGCUGCAGUGAGUUGAGAUUGCUGCACUGCCCUCCAGCCUGGGUGACAGAGCUGAGACCCUGUCUCAAAAAAAUAGGAAAGAAAAGAAAGUAUAUGCAAGAAGUGAUAAGAAUGAUGCCUCAUGGAAUCUGAGCUGAGUACGGGAGAGAAUGAGGGAUAGUGAAACAGUUGGAGGGUUACAAAUUAUAGGUUUCAUUUGGAAUUGGGCUACAAAGGGUGAUCAGAAAAAAUCAGUAGUGGUUGGAGACUGGAUGGAAUUGAAAUUACAGGAGAGGUAAACAUAAGCUCUUAACUACUCUGCUAUGCUGCCUCUGCUGCCCUCAGGGCCUGUGAAAGGAGAGGCUGAGGAUGUGCUAUAGAAGACUCACAAGAAACAACCGUAGUCAGGUGGGAGGAAGCCAGAGUCUUGGACUAGGCUGGAACAGUGGGAACAGAGUAGAAGAAAUAAAAAGAAGAAUGGGG